rnacentral:rRNA from 1 species
GACGAACGCUGGCGGCGUGCUUAACACAUGCAAGUCGAACGAAGAGCGAUGGAAGCUUGCUUCUAUCAAUCUUAGUGGCGAACGGGUGAGUAACGCGUAAUCAACCUGCCCUUCAGAGGGGGACAACAGUUGGAAACGACUGCUAAUACCGCAUACGAUCUAAUCUCGGCAUCGAGGAUAGAUGAAAGGUGGCCUCUACAUGUAAGCUAUCACUGAAGGAGGGGAUUGCGUCUGAUUAGCUAGUUGGAGGGGUAACGGCCCACCAAGGCGAUGAUCAGUAGCCGGUCUGAGAGGAUGAACGGCCACAGUGGGACUGAGACACGGCCCAGACUCCUACGGGAGGCAGCAGUGGGGAAUCUUCCGCAAUGGACGAAAGUCUGACGGAGCAACGCCGCGUGAGUGAUGACGGCCUUCGGGUUGUAAAGCUCUGUUAAUCGGGACGAAAGGCCUUCUUGCGAAUAGUGAGAAGGAUUGACGGUACCGGAAUAGAAAGCCACGGCUAACUACGUG